AUGAAACUUCUAAGUCGGCCUUACCAGUUGCUGGUGUGGAAACACACAUGUGCACGGUUUGGUCGCAAAUCCUCACACACCUGUGCAUCCAUGACUCUGAGGUUGUUAAUCGACCGAAAGAGUACUUUUUAUACACUCUGAAUGUAACGGAAUGUCUAUGUGCUAUAAUGUACAAAUAAA
rnacentral:misc_RNA from 1 species